rnacentral:rRNA from 1 species
CGCCUGCCCUGUGACAAAUGUUCAACGGCCGCGGUAUUUUGACCGUGCAAAGGUAGCGCAAUCACUUGUCUUUUAAAUGAAGACCCGUAUGAAUGGCAUCACGAGGGUUUAGCUGUCUCCUUUUUCCAGUCAAUGAAAUUGAUCUUUCCGUGCAGAAGCGGAAAUACAAACAUAAGACGAGAAGACCCUAUGGAGCUUUAGACAAAAGGUAGGCCUUGUUAAACACUUCAAAAUAAAGAAAUAAACUAAAAGAAUAUCUACCACAAUGUCUUUGGUUGGGGCGACCACGGGGAAAUAAACAACCCCCAUGUGGACUGAGAAAACAAUUCUCACAACAAAGAGCCACAGCUCUAAUUAACAGAACUUCUGACCUUACAGAUCCGGUUUAGUACCGAUCAACGGACCGAGUUACCCUAGGGAUAACAGCGCAAUCCUCUUCUAGAGUUCAUAUCGACAAGGGGGUUUACGACCUCGAUGUUGGAUCAGGACAUCCUAAUGGUGCAGCAGCUAUUAAGGGUUCGUUUGUUCAACGAUUAAAGUCCU